UCCUGGUUAGCUCAGUUGGCAGAGCGCUUUACUGAAAACGAAGAGGUCCCUGAUUCGAUACCAGGACCAGGCG
rnacentral:tRNA from 1 species